UCACAAAAGGCGCUCACUUCAAAAUUGGAAUGAUAUAGAGAACAUUAGCAUGGCCUCCGCAUGGGAUGAUGCACAAAUUCAUGAAGCGUUCCAUAUUUUC
rnacentral:snRNA from 1 species